rnacentral:rRNA from 1 species
AGAGUUUGAUCCUGGCUCAGGAUGAACGCUGGCGGCGUGCUUAACACAUGCUUUUCGAGCGAUGAAGUUUCCUUCGGGAAACGGAUUAGCGGCGGACGGGUGAGUAACACGUGGGUAACCUGCCUCAUAGAGUGGAAUAGCCUUCCGAAAGGAAGAUUAAUACCGCAUAACGUUGAAAGAUGGCAUCAUCAUUCAACCAAAGGAGCAAUCCGCUAUGAGAUGGACCCGCGGCGCAUUAGCUAGUUGGUGGGGUAACGGCCUACCAAGGCGACGAUGCGUAGCCGACCUGAGAGGGUGAUCGGCCACAUUGGGACUGAGACACGGCCCAUACUCCUACGGGAGGCAGCAGUGGGGAAUAUUGCACAAUGGGGGAAACCCUGAUGCAGCAACGCCGCGUGAGUGAUGAAGGUUUUCGGAUCGUAAAGCUCUGUCUUUGGGGAAGAUAAUGACGGUACCCAAGGAGAAAGCCACGGCUAACUACGUGCCAGCAGCCGCGGUAAUACGUAGGUGGCGAGCGUUAUCCGGAUUUACUGGGCGUAAAGGGAGCGUAGGCGGAUGAUUAAGUGGGAUGUGAAAUACCCGGGCUCAACUUGGGUGCUGCAUUCCAAACUGGAAAUCUAGAGUAUAGGAGGGGAAAGUGGAAUUCCUAGUGUAGCGGUGAAAUGCGUAGAGAUUAGGAAGAACACCAGUGGCGAAGGCGGCUGUCUGGUCUGUAACUGACGCUGAGGCUCGAAAGCGUGGGGAGCAAACAGGAUUAGAUACCCUGGUAGUCCACGCCGUAAACGAUGAAUGCUAGGUGUUGGAGGGUUUCCGCCUCAGUGCUGCAGCUAACGCAAUAAGUAUUCCGCCUGUGGAGUAUGCACGCAAGUGUGAAACAUAAAGGAAUUGACGGGGGCCCGCACAAGUAGCGGAGCAUGUGGUUUAAUUCGAAGCAACGCGAAGAACCUUACCUGGUCUUGACAUCCUUUUGACCGAUGCCUAAUCGCAUCUUUCCCUUCGGGGACAGAAGUGACAGGUGGUGCAUGGUUGUCGUCAGCUCGUGCUGUGAGAUGUUGGGUUAAGUCCCGCAACGAGCGCAACCCUUGUCUUUAGUUGCCAUCAUUUAGUUGGGCACUCUAGAGAGACUGCCAGGGAUAACCUGGAGGAAGGUGGGGAUGACGUCAAAUCAUCAUGCCCCUUAUGCCUAGGGCUACACACGUGCUACAAUGGGUGGUACAGAGGGCAGCCAAGCCGUGAGGAGGAGCAAAUCCCUUAAAGCCAUUCUCAGUUCGGAUUGUAGGCUGAAACUCGCCUACAUGAAGCUGGAGAAAAUAGUAAUCGCAGAUCAGAAUGCUGCGGU